AUGGAGACACCCAAGACAUGGAACUUCUGUCCAAGCUCCAGCUGGUCGGCGAGCUCCUCUACAUCCAAGGCUUCACUUUUGACACUCCGACCGGGGUUUGGGUCACUUUCCCCGUACCCUGCUCUAUCAAAUGCAAGUAGGCGAGGGGAAGUCCUUGGUGCUAUCAAAUGCAUGCACUGUGAUGAUCUUGUACUUGGCCUUGUCUCUCUGCACACCGUCUUCCCGGUAUGCGAGGUACCUCCCAUCCCUGAGCUUGAUCCUGGGAGAUGUCACCGGAGGUCCACCUACCGAGCCGCAACGUUUUGUAUGUGGUGGCCGGAGAAUGGCCUGGAAGGCCAAACCAAGCAGCACCACUGGAAGAACGACGAGCAAUCUUGGAGCCAUUCUUCCCAGAUCCAGUGCUUUCGGUGUCAGCUGUGGAGGUUUAUGCGUGGCGGGGGCAAAGCUGCAAUGUGGGCUGCUCUUUUACUCCACUCCACCGGUAGUGUGGGCGCAUCAUUGCACGGACGGGACCCCCUGGCCCUGGCCGCUUUCUUUGUUUGCCUCCACUACUCUGGCUUGUUGCUGACUGUAAACAAAUACUCCGUAAAUUAA
rnacentral:rRNA from 1 species